rnacentral:lncRNA from 1 species
AGGGAUUUAAAACCACCAAAUAUUUUAUUGGACCAUAAUGAUGUUGCAAAAUUGUGCGAUUUUGGAUUAGCAAGGUUUAUGUUGACUGGUACACAAGUUUUAACUCAAGCGUCACUUAAGGGAACGCCCCUUUAUAUGGCACCUGAAGUAUUGAAUUCCCCUGUUAUACCUCCAACAUACAACCACAAUGCAGAUUUAUGGUAAAAAUUACACGAUCAAUAAAAUAGUUUACAUUUAAAAAAAAAUUAUACAUAUUUUGAUUAACUCAUUGAUAACAAAAUUAAUUUAGGUCUUUAGGGUGUAUAGCAUAUCAUUUACUUUGUGGAAAACCACCAUUUGAUACAAAAUGUUUGAUGCAUUUAGUCCAAAUGAUGAAAGAUCAGCCAAUUGUUUGGCCAAAUACUGUAUCACCUGUUUGUCAAAACUUUUUAAAGCAACUAUUAAAAAAAAAUCCAUUAGAAAGAUUAACAUGGCCUGGUCUAUUAGAACAUGAAUUUAUAAGAAAUCAAGUAAAUGUGGUAAAUCAACAAGAUGGUGAUUUUUCUUCUGAAUUAGAUGACCUUGUAUCUCCAUUAAUCUCAAUGAAAAUAAAUGAGGAUGAUGCGACAACUGAUUCUUCAACCAGUCAUGAUGUGACGUCUAUAGAAGACACGUAAUAAUUCUUUGUAAUUAUAUACUACAUAGUCAAAUUAUAAUAUAAAAAGAUUAUAUAUAUAUAUUAAUUGUUGUGUAGAACUGAGGAAGACCUCCGUUCUAGUCAUGCAAGCUGGUGUUCUGAAACAUGUCAGGAGUUGGAUAUUGUUUCGGACCAAACAAACUCUACUAGUAAUAAUACCAAUAAUAAUGAUUUUAUGAGCGAAGAAUGGAUUGCAAUUUUACGACAAAGUGCAUCGGAGGUAAAACUUGAAUUUCUAUUAUGUACUUGUCUAUGUUUUUGACUAUACCCAUGUUGUCUUGAUUAAUAAUUAGAUGUUUUAAUGAUAAACAUUAAACAUGUAUAAAGAAACUCUGCUCAGAAUCGUUUUUAUUAGCAAAAAUUAAUCAUUGCUUACAGAUUUACAUUAAAUUUCCCUCUACCUGCCCAACUUCUCACGUACAACAAUGGCCCACCUAUUGUGUGAAGUAGGUCUGUUUCUUUUUAAAAUUGAUUUUGCUUGUAUUGAAAUCUAUACAUAGUUAAAUUAAGCCAUUCUUCCUUAAUAUCUAUGCACUUUUCAAGAAAAAAUUACUGUUCAUAGGCCUAUGGAAAAAAAUAUUGAAUACUAAUGUAGUAAUUAUUUUAAAAAUUUGGUUAUUAAAAAAAAUUAUAGCAAAAAACAACAGUCAUAAUAAUUGAUAGAGAUUUCAAUACACUUCUAAUUUUGUUUUUGAAAUGCAUCAAUUCAUAGAGAUAAAAUAGAAUAUUUGGAUAUAUAUAUAUAUUAAUAUUUGUUUACCAUAUGACAUUUUUUUUUCAGGUUCUAUCUGGAAAUUUACAAUCCAUGAAUCAAAAAAGUUUUAUUUUAUUUGUAUUGUCGUCUUUAAAAACCACCACAGUGUCUUCCAAAUUAUUACAUUAUGUUGUUACACUUCUAGCAAUUCCUUUUGUUUCAUCAAAUAUUCAACAAACUGAGAAAGAUUCAAUAACCAAAGUAUUUUUAAUUAUAACAUUAUAUAUUUAUUUAUGUAUCAAUGAAGUGCUUUAUGUAUUUUAAGUAAUAUUAUUUUUUAUUUAUUGUAGAUUUAUAUAGAAACUAAUGUCAUCUCGUGUUUGAUGCAAGCGUUUUCUAAUGCUUCCACGUCACCUGCUCGUAAUUGUGUAUCACCUGCACCUCCUGAUACAUUAGGUUUACUAGAAUUAACAAGCUUGGAAUCAGUGCUUCUUUUAGUGGAAGGUUUAUCUUUAGAUAAACCUGUUGAAUGUCUAAAACAGUUUAUCGAUAGUGUUGUUUUUUUAAAAAUUGUACCACUUUUA